GUGUCGCAGGCGCUCCGUGGGAAUGCUAUAUUUAAUGCCACUAUUCAAACUCGUGAAACUGUCCGCUGCUGGAAUUUAGCACACACUGUGCUGCUGUGUAUUUUGAGAUCGGCGGUUGUGGAAAUGGCGAGCCUCCGACAGAGAACUGACCCAUCGAAAAGUGGCCGUGGUAAGCAACGAACGGCAAAUUUUGUCAGAACACCGGCGGCAAACGACGAUAUGCUACGUGGCAUCAAAGGCAUGAUGGAUGAACUUCGAACGGAAAUUGUAACAAAAUUCGAGACAAUAAUUUCUGAGUCUGUUAAAACAGAAGUGGCACAAGCUCUGAAGCCCGUAGUUACGACGAUCGAGGCUCAGAAAGAAACUAUUUCGGACCUUGAGCGUGCGGCUAACGAGCACGGAACUCAGCUGGCUAGCCUACGGGCUGAGGUGGAUAAGCUGUCGGAAACGGUGGUGUCCUUAAACGCGAAAUGUGAAGACCUGGAAGCCCGUUCAAGACGAAAUAAUAUUAGAUUUGUGGGCUUAGCUGAAGGUGCUGAGGGUUCCAACCCUACUAAGUUUGUUGCUAAGCUCUUGGGCGACAUGCUAAGCCUCGAGAACGAACCCGAGCUUGACUGGGCACACAGCACGCUGCGUGUUAAACCGAAGGAUGGCGAACCUCUGCGACCGAUGAUCAUUAGGAUCCACAUGUUCCAGGAAAAGAGCACAAUUUUGCGUCGGGCGGGAGAAGCAUCACCAUUGCUGCACAAUGGGAAGAGGCUCCAUAUUUUUCAAGACUUCACCCCUACUGUAGCAAAACAGAGGGCUGCAUUUGCUAAGGUGAAGCUCUCGUGUGCUAAUGUGAGAUUUGGACGCCGAUACCCGGCCACGCUACACAUUACAAUCCCUAAUGGUCCAACUCAUCGAUUCGAAGACCCGAACAAGGCUUUGGAAUUCGUCAACAAAACUCUCUUCAAAUCCCAGGAUCAAGAGGGAACUUGACUUCUUUUCUUAUUUUUUCUCCUCGCCUUUUUUUUUUACCCUGUCCAGACGCUGCCCCUUAAUCUGGAAUUAUUUUGGAGCAAUUUUGACUUUUUGAGCAUCUUGGAGGAGGCUGGAUUCUCUCACCAGCUGUUUUUUUGUUUGUUUCUCUCCCUCUCAUCCGGAUGCUACUGUGGAGAGACCUCAGACUCGAGAUAAGUAAUUUCUGCGAUUCUGUUCCUACAAGGUACGUUGCUCUGACACUGAAAUACUGAGGAUGAUCGGCCUUUUUUGUUUUUUUUUGUCUCCGAUCAUGUCCUGAUGUAAUCGGGCCCUAUAUUAAUGUUGGGAACGUGCCCAGACUUCUGUUUUGUUUUUGUCUUUUUUCUCAAUUUUAUUAUUAUUGUUAUGAAUGUAUUAUUCGGUGUUGCCCUCGAAUGCUGUGGAUCCUCGGCAUCGUUCACUUCCUGUAUAUGCUGUAUUGGCACCAUGGAAAUAGUGCUUAGAAAAUAGAUUUCGUUCCACUGAAAUGGAUCUACAUGACCGCUGCAUUAUAAUAUACAUACGUUGCUAACUAGUACCAAAAAAAAAGUUCUAUUCACGGUUUCCAGUCAUUUUUUAGUAAUUUGCUUUUUUGUGUCGGUCUUUUUUUUCCCCGUGGCGCAGUGAUAUUGAUACAGCCAUAGGCGUGGCCACAAGGGUGGCCGGGGGUGGCAUUUGCCACCCCUGAAAUUUGGUUGGCCACCCUAAGUGCCCCCCCAACCAACCACCACCUCAGUAAAGCUACGUUCACACCGGCCGCUUAAUUUGCUUGUCGCGCCGCGGGUUCCCAUGAAAGUCAAUGUGAACGUGUCACGCAUGUCGCGUCGGGGCGAUGCGAUGACGCCAAAUUGACUGUAGCUCGUCAAAUUUAACGCACCGCCAAGGAGAUGGUUUGGUUGAACUUUCUGCGACUGAGUUCGGCGUCGAGGAGGAAGCAGCCAAUCAAAUACUUUUUCCUCAUUCACGUGACUUUAGGCGAAUAGGAUGCACAGGAACGUCAAUAUCAUGCAUUCACAACAGACCAAGUUGGACAAUUUGGUGUUUAUAUUGUUCUUGAGAACACUACUACCACGACGGUGGUUAAACACCAUUCAUAAUUGAGGUAAGUGAGAAUGUCCAAACUGUGAAAAAAAUGUGAAUGUUAGUGUUUAAUGUAUAGGCAUGUCACAGGUGGUUGGGUAACGUUUGUGUAGCUGAAGUUAAGAAGCUAAUGUUAGCAACACUAGCUCAAAUCGUUUGAAAGAAUUUAAGUGAUUAGAACUUGGUAGUUUUUUUCCUUUUUCUUUUUGCCUUUUUCUUGGUUGGGGUAAUUUUCACUUGAGUUUGUUUGCGUUUGCUGUGAUUUUAGUUUUUUUCAACAUGACACAUAAAUGCCUGAGCAUUAUGGCCUCAUUUUCUCGGGCAGAUUAGGGAAAGAACAAUGAAGAGAUCUCAAAACAUUGAGACAUUCUUUAUUGUCAAGAAGAAAAAAAGAUCAGCUGCUGGAGACAGUGGGGCUACAGCGUCCUCUUCAGGACAGCAUUCAGCAGAGAUUCUCAUCAGUGAGGGUGACAGCCAUUCAGAUGAGGAUCCACAAGCGUCUAUAUGUGAAAGUGGCAGCGACACAGACGAGGCUCCACAUUCUCCGCUCCCCACAUCGUCCCAGUCAUCAGAUAUAUCACGGUGCCCAACCGAUGGACCAACACGGCCAUACCUGAGGAUGUAUCCCAGAAAAAGGUUUUGCGCCAUCUACUAUUGUGACCCUGUUUGGCCCCCCCAAGAAAAAAAUCCUAGACACGCCCCUGGAUACGGCGGAGUCGCAUCGUCAGUGUGUGAAGCCAUUUUAGGUCACGUGCACCAAUAGGAGACGAGGAUUGUUGCUAUGGGUUUGGAAAACAAACAACAUGGCGGCGACCAUGUCAAGCUACGACACGAGCGAAGAUGAACAAAAGAUAAGAAAACCGCAUUCGAAAUGUAGUCAAAAGGCAUGGAAACGAUGCUAUAUGCAUCUCUCAUCUGUCCAAGGGCGAAAAAGGGCAGGAAUUUGGCCGAAACGGCAUGCAACUUGCUAAGCCUUCGUGGCUACGUCAGACAAUGGCUUUCUCUCCAGGCUCCGUCGAAGGAUCUUGCUGAAAAUGCGUCGACUGGGAUUUUUAACGACAUUGACUCCAGAACUGAAACACCCUUCACUGACAGCUACAACUUCUUCUGUGGGACCGUCGUCCAUUAAAAGAUUAGAGUUGACCAGGAUCUGCUACGAAUGGACAAGCUUGUGGAAAUAUGGCUUUAUUGGGACCAUGGAAAAAGUGCUUAGAAAAUGGAUUUCAUUCCACUACGCUGGAUCUAUGCGUUCAAUGCAUUUUUUUCUAAGCCAAUACCCUUCUAACUUAGUCACCAGCCAGAAAUGUAUCUUGAUGUGAAUACACAAAAAUACAGAUCUAGUGUUGCUGUUUUUGCUUGUUUUAAGUGUUAUAUUAAUUCUGGCAACACAAAAUCUUUAUCAAAUGUCAUAAACACAUCUACCAAACAUUUGAAACAAGUAUUGGUGCCUUUGUAUACACAUAGGUGAAUUCAUGUAAAUGAAAUCAAAUGAAAUGAAAUCAAAUGCAAAUGUAGCUAAUUUCUUGAAGGAAACACUUCAACAUUAAUGAUUUGCACCCAGCACAAUGAAAUAUAUAUUGAAUUAAGCUAAAGGUUUAUGUAUCAUAUAUUAAAAAUAUCACAACCUACUAUGCAAUGAAAUAUAUAAAAUAAAAAAUGCACACCAUGAUCAUAAAUGGCUGAAAAUCAACCAAAUUGCUACCACACCCUCCUAAAUGUGAAUCAUGGCAAAAAUGAAAUAAGGCAAAAAAUUAUAGGGUGAUCAAAAAAUAAUGUGCCAAAAUCAUAAGGUGAUACUUAAAAAAUAAAAGACAUCACAAAAGAAGUGAUGGACACGUGUUGAAGAUAACUUCCAAGUUUUAUUUCAUGUUUCACAAGUGCUCAAAUGUGAGCACACCCAGCAGCACGGACAAAAUCAAGCCACGAUGAGAAUUCCUCUCAAACUUGUGCAUGUCGCAGUUAUUGUCUUGAUUGCAACUGUUGUUCGAUAUUUCACAUCAUCAGUACUUGCUGGACGUGUUGGUAUGUUAAAGACAAAGUUCAUUAUCCAUCUUUGGCACAUAACGUAUGUUAUACACUAAGUGUAUGUUCCACCACUUCCAGCAAAUAUUGAUGACAUGAAAGAUCGAAUAACAGACUAUAUCAACGCGGGAGGGAGGAAUUCUCAUGUCAACUUGGAUGUUGUCCAUGCUGCUGGUGAUGGCCAUAUUUGAAUACUAUGAAAACAUGAAAUUGAACAUAGUUACUUCCUACCACUGUCCAAGGUAGAGUUUUUUUUUAAAAAUGUUUUCUGUUUUUGACUUGGCAUUAUGAUUUUGGCACAGCCUUUUUUAAUCACACUGUAUAUACACAAAAGGUUGGAAUCAUUCAAGUAUGGUACUGUUGGUACACAACAUUUAUUUAAACAUGGAAGUGUCUCAUACUAUAAAAAUACACAUACAAAUAUUGAAAAACGAAUUUAAAAAAUAUAUUGAGAGAAAUAAAAAAUAGUAAAACUGUACAUGACAACAUUACUCCUCAAAAUCGCUUUCAUCAAAGUCAUCAGCCCAUCCAAGUGUCUUCUGUUUCUUUGGAAACAUUCUCGCAUGCUUGGCACCUAUAUAAAUCAGUACAAGAAAGUUUUGCAGACAUAUAGGAACAUCUUCCCGUGUCACAAUUGGUUGCCUUUCAACUACAGUUGACUACUUGCAAAACAGUAUCAGGGGCAGGAUUUUUAGUCAUCCAUGUCACUGCCAACUGCCCAUCCUCAAUGUCCCACCCAUUCCCAAUGGGUGAAGGGGCACACAUUUUACCUGUCAGACGUUUCAUAAUUGCUUCUUGAUAGUUUGCUGUCCUGCAAUGUUGGUACAGAGCAUCAGUUUUUGGGGGAAUAGAAUGUUCUGGCAAGAUUGACGAGGCCAUACAGAAAAAUCUGCAUUUGGCAUCAUUUUUGGCAUAUAACUGGCCAAACAGGUGGCACACGUAUUUCCACAACGUGUUAAAUGUUUGUAGGUCAAGUUUAAAACUGCUGCCCAGCUUUGCAAACCCAGUCAGGUACUCUUUUUUUUUUUUUUUAUGACGUGCAAAAGAAUUUUUUUUCCCCCCUUUGCCAUGAAAGGCACAAGCAGAGUCACAACCUGUGAAUGUAUGGAUGCCAAUGAGUGCUAAACACACACUAGUGCCAGGAGCUGCAGAGACCUCAGAGAUGUCAGUCCUCGUUCUGUUGCCUCCUCCUGUGAAAAAAUGCAAUUUACACUGUAAAUCUAUCUGCAGACUUACAGCAAUCACUGCCACGUCAGUAUCAGGGCUUUUAUUGACUACAGCUUGAUGUUCUUGAGCCAAAAGGUUUAUUUAAUCAUUGUCACUCAUAACAGGUAUGCAAUAAAAAGUUCUACUGGAUUCACUUUCUAUACACUGUACAUACAUUUUAUAACAAAGUGGUAUUGAUAUCUGGGCUAAAAAAUGGUAUCGUUACAACACUAGUUUAAAUAAGAUUUUUGUGAGCAUAGGUUAAUAACAAUUAACCUUGUAGCAAAGGCGUGCGUGUGGCUUACCUG